CGGGUGAGUAACACGUGGAUAACCUACCUAUAAGACUGGGAUAACUUCGGGAAACCGGAGCUAAUACCGGAUAAUAUUUUGAACCGCAUGGUUCAAAAGUGAAAGACGGUCUUGCUGUCACUUAUAGAUGGAUCCGCACUGCAUUAGCUAGUUGGUAAGGUAACGGCUUACCAAGGCAACGAUGCAUAGCCGACCUGAGAGGGUGAUCGGCCACACUGGAACUGAGACACGGUCCAG
rnacentral:rRNA from 1 species